rnacentral:lncRNA from 1 species
CACAGACCCAGCACCAUUUAUUGAGAAGACAAUCUCUUUCCCCUGCACUUCAGUCAUUCCAUUAAAAAAAACUGACUAUCAUUUUGAAUGAUAGCUAAGAACUACUCCACCUGGCCCAGAUUCUUUGGCGUGUGUCUCUGCUCAGCUCCGAUGAAUGCAGGAAUCCCUAAUCAGAUGACUGCAAUCACAAGACUCCCCUCCAGCAGGCUGGAAUGAGGCUGUGAGGCUCCAGCAGCCGUUUUGUGCCACGAGGCAGUAGAAACCUGGGUUCCUGAUGACUGUGGAGCUGCCGAACUAAUCUGGACCUCCAGAUUCCAUACCUGCAAGACACAUGAACAUCUGUCUUAUGCCGUGGAAACAGAAAUCUAGUGGAGGAUUCUGAUCCCUAGGGAAUGUAGGGCCACUGGACCCAAUUGCCCUAUAAUCUUGUGUGGUAUUUCCCUGCCCCUGCUCAACUUCAUUGGAUGGUAUUGCCUUGGUCUUUGUUUCUUGAGGAGUCACAGAAAGAAAGACACAGACCAGGACUGGGAGGUGGAACUGGAAGUGCUGGAGAUGAGCUGCUGUGGCUGUAUGGACAAAGGCAAGAUCCUAUGGGAUGGCCAAGCAACCAGACAGAAGAACUCUUGAGACCUUGAGGAAAAGAACUGCCCGCAACUGCUCUUGACACUCUCUCCCUCUGGCCUGUUGUGUGGGAGAGAAAUAAACUUCUAUUUUAU